GAUGAACGCUGGCGGCGUGCCUAAUACAUGCAAGUCGAGCGAAUAGACGAGGAGCUUGCUCCUCUGACGUUAGCGGCGGACGGGUGAGUAACACGUGGAUAACCUACCUAUAAGACUGGGAUAACUUCGGGAAACCGGAGCUAAUGCCGGAUAAUAUAUUGAACCGCAUGGUUCAAUAGUGAAAGACGGUUUUGCUGUCACUUAUAGAUGGAUCCGCGCCGCAUUAGCUAGUUGGUAAGGUAACGGCUUACCAAGGCAACGAUGCGUAGCCGACCUGAGAGGGUGAUCGGCCACACUGGAACUGAGACACGGUCCAGACUCCUACGGGAGGCAGCAGUAGGGAAUCUUCCGCAAUGGGCGAAAGCUUGACGGAGCAACGCCGCGUGAGUGAUGAAGGUCUUCGGAUCGUAAAACUCUGUUAUUAGGGAAGAACAAAUGUGUAAGUAACUAUGCACGUCUUGACGGUACCUAAUCAGAAAGCCACGGCUAACUACGUG
rnacentral:rRNA from 1 species